ACCUGGGUGGCUCAGUCGGUUGAGCGUCUGACUUCAGCUCAGGUCAUGAUCUCACACUCCGUGAGUUCAAGCCCCGCAUCAGGCU
rnacentral:tRNA from 1 species